GAUUCUCCUGGAGUGUGUGCAUGUGUGAGCGUGAGAGAGAGAGAAAAAGAGAGAGAGAGAGAGAGAGAGAGAGCAAGAGCAGCUGGGAAGGAGAGACAGCAUAGAGGAGAGAGAAAGAAGGCUUUCUUGUGCAAGUCAGUAGUUGCUAGAAGACUGACAGACGCUGGAUCUCACGAUCAUCCUCGACACAGUCUGCAGCAUGGGUCCAUGGGGGCAGCCAGAGGCCAGGACUGAGUUUGCUGACCACAACCACAAUGGACAGCUACACUGGUGAAGCGUCCAGAUCCAGAGUUGUGGAGGAUGUGGGAGCUGUUAGAAGAGGC